rnacentral:rRNA from 1 species
GACAGAGGGUGCAAACGUUGUUCGGAAUUACUGGGCGUAAAGCGAGUGUAGGCGGUGUGGUAAGUCCGCUGUGAAAGUCCAGGGCUCAACCCUGGAAUGCCGGUGGAAACUGUCGAGCUAGAGUCCGGAAGAGGCGAGUGGAAUUCCUGGUGUAGCGGUGAAAUGCGCAGAUAUCAGGAGGAACACCAAUGGCGAAGGCAGCUCGCUGGGACGGUACUGACGCUGAGACGCGAAAGCGUGGGGAGCAAACAGG